rnacentral:rRNA from 1 species
UACGAAGGGUGCAAGCGUUACUCGGAAUUACUGGGCGUAAAGCGUGCGUAGGUGGUUUGUUAAGUCUGAUGUGAAAGCCCUGGGCUCAACCUGGGAAUUGCAUUCGAGACUGAAUAGCUAGGGUGCGGUAGAGGGGUGUGGAAUUCCCGGUGUAGCAGUGAAAUGCGUAGAUAUCGGGAGGAACAUCUGUGGCGAAGGCGACACCCUGGACCAGCACUGACACUGAGGCACGAAAGCGUGGGGAGCAAACAGG